rnacentral:rRNA from 1 species
GCUUGUCUCAAAGAUUAAGCCAUGCAUGUCUAAGUGUAAAUAAGUCUAUACUGUGAAACUGCGAAUGGCUCAUUAAAUCAGUUAUCGUUUAUUUGAUGAUCUCUUACUACUUGGAUAACCGUAGUAAUUCUAGAGCUAAUACAUGCACAAAAUCCCGACUUACGAAGGGAUGUAUUUAUUAGAUACAAACCAACAUCGUGGUGAUUCAUAAUAACUUUGCGAAUCGUAUGCCUCACGGCGACGAUGAAUCAUUCAAAUUUCUGCCCUAUCAGCUUUCGACGGUAGUGUAGUGGACUACCGUGGCGCUAACGGGUGACGGAGAAUUAGGGUUCGGUUCCGGAGAGGGAGCCUGAGAAACGGCUACCACAUCCAAGGAAGGCAGCAGG